AAUAAUUGUGGUUUCACUAUUUCAAUAAAUCAAUAUUUCGCUAGAUUUUAGUGAAAUAGGCGUUGGAUGCAAUUGGAGUCAAAGUAACUGUCUGUUGGCCAUAAUACCGAUAGUAUUUUGCAGGGUUUUUAUAGCAUGUAAACUAAUUUUUUCUUACAUAUGUUACACAUGAAUUUAGGUAAGUUUUUUGUUUUUUUUUUAUCCAUUUCGGGCUAAAUAAGCCGUAAAAAAGACAUUUCUAAACUUCUUAUGAAGGUUUUUAAAGUCUUCAGAACGAAUUUUUUCGGCCGUGUGCUCACUAGGUUGACGGUAGGUAUUAUGUUUUUUUAUUCUUUAAUAAUUGGUUGUUUUUAGUUACACAGGGUGGCCCAAAAGUCGCGCUACCAUUAGAAAAAUUCACCACAAUCCUCCUUAUAAUUUUUAUUUUUUUUCCUUUCAGAUAUUAACACUUCAACCCUUGGAGACUUGUUAUGGAGAAAUUUAGCACAGCCCAAAGAACAAAAAUCGUAUUUCGAGAGGUGUUGCUGUUUUGCAGCACGCGAAUGAGUUAACAGCUUUUGACAAAAAAAACUUUCAAAAUAGCAAAUACAUCUUAUAAUUAUUUCUAACAAAGUGGCGUGAACGCCAUUUUAGACUUUAAGAGAUACUUAAAGUUUUCGAGAAAUUAUAACGACAAAGGCGUUUCAAAUCACUCAUCUAAUGUUUUGUACAUAUGGGAGAAAAUCGAUCCUAGUUUAAAAACUGUGCCUAAGUGCCUGUUAGCCGAUGCUAAUAUGUAAGAAGAUUUCUAUGCUGCUCCUUUAAUCGAAGUAAUUAAAGAGCAGCAAUCAUUACCGAUGUAUUGUCAGUCCUCGCACAUUCAACCGAGACCCUUAUAUCAAAGCUAUCUUCAGUUAUUUUAAAUCUAGAUUUUUUAAAAGCUAGGACUUGAUAUGCCUGCUUAACAUGUAUGAUGACAUCGAAUUUGUAAAAGCUGAAGAAAAAGAAAUAAAAAACUCGGUAACGAUCUUUAGUAAAAAAAAAAAUAGACCAAAACGUUCGUAUUUAUAAACAAGCAACCGUACUCACGGAGAUUGUAAAGACAUAUUUUUCAUCUGAACAUGUGAAAAAAAUGAGAAAAUUACUGUCAGGCAAUGUAUAACUGUCCAAAACGGAGUGCAUCGAUGUACGCGAUUACCUUAUGGUAUUUAUAUGCUUAAUAAAUGCAACACGGUCUUCCAAUCUCAUUUUAAUAUCCAUUGAAGAUGUCAAAUGUCAAAAAAAAAAAACUUGAAAAUGGCUGGGUCAUCCAAAAUAAACUAUAUUAAACAAGUAUGUUGUAUGGCAAUAAAAUCAUACUUUUAGCUGAAACCCUCAGGGAUGAGCUAUUAAAAUACCUGAAAUAUCCCAGAAGUGUUAUUAAUACAAAAAUAGGGUGUUCCCCAGAGGACCCUGUCUUCAUUUCUAGUGGCUCAGAUGUACUGACUCAUUCCGCAAUUGCAAACGGAAUGAGCACAUUUUUCAGAAAAUCGAAAGCCUUGUUAGAUGUUGACAGUGAAUUCAAUAACGAUCGUGUUUGCCUGACAAAAAUCAGAAUAAGUAUUGCGACAUGUGUUCUUGGUGACGAGAAUGUAAAUAGUUUUGCUCGUGUAAGUGCUAUAUUUUAAUAUCAUACACUACUAUUAUAUAAAAAGAACUAUUUAUAACAGUAUGAUCUUUAACAGAACUACAUGACAAACAGAAAAACAAAACAACUACAACACUGAAGUUUUACGUGACCCGUUUCGCUUUAAUAACAGCCGCCUUUCAUAACUAGAGAGUAAGAACUUAAUUUGUUGUAUUACAAAAAAAAUGCCCUGGAAGUAAAACCAACACCUUCCGAUGUUAAAGGUAAGUAAGAAAACAAGCAUAGACUUUUAUUAUUUAAACAUAGGGUUUAUUUUUAAACAAAGUCAAUAGAAUAUAACUAUGGUCUGGAAGUCUAUUGUUGUUUAGCUGAAAUAAAUAGUUUAUUAAUCACGUGACCGAAGAGUGUGCAAAACAUGGCAUUAAGUAGCGCAGGAUUUAAUAAUAGAUAUUCAGUAUGAAGGUCUUUUCGAUGAAAAAUUUAUUAUGCCCAAAUUUGAAACAAAACAAAUAAAAAAUAUAACAAAUUAUGAAAUUGGUGCCUUACAAUAUCUGGCUAGGUAUGUUAUCAAAAUGUUUAUAAAAAAAAUCGAAAAACAGCCUAAAUUAUAAAUCUGAUGAAAAUCAAAAUAUAAUAAAAGUAUUAAAUAACACUAUUAGCAAUAUUUCUUCUGAUCAGGAAUUUAGUCAGUCGUGGUGGACUUACAGCUGUUAAUAAUGAAUGAUAGCAAAUAUUUGUGAAAGCUGGAAUUCAAUUUCGAUAAUAAAACAAAUAUUAAACAUUUGCAAGAAAUUAACAUUAGCAGAAUGACUGUGGAACUACUGAAAGAUACAGAAGUAGUGAGCUUUUAUAACCCUAUCAGGAUGCGGAGUUGAUAUAGAUAAUGAUGUUUGUAAAAACCUUUUAAAAAAUAUGAUAAAACUUUACUUUCGAGUGCGAGCAUUUUCUAUGGUAUAGACAUAACAACCAAACAUAAACUAAAAUUUGAAAAAAAAAAAAUCAUGGUAGACUUCGUAAAAAGCUUAAAAAACAAUUCAAAGAGUAACAAGGAUGUUGUAAAAUUGUAUUUGUCACUUGUUAUGUGUUUAGUUUUAUUAAUAAAAUUAUGUAUCUUAAAAUAUUGUUAGUUAUUUUCAUAUGUUCCCAGAUUCUCUUGCUUUUUUUUCUUGCUCUUGUACCUUUUUCCUAAUGGUUCACUAAAAGUGAUUCUCCGUGAUACUUUAUGCUUUUGUAUACGAGCUCCUAUGGUAUUCGUAGUAAUAGGUGCUACAGACCGUUGCAUUCUGAUAGCAUUUGAUUGGUAUCCCAACUGAAUGAGGGUAGGGUUGUCAUUUCGGCGACCAAAGCUGCAAUGGCUCCCAAAGUAUUUCUCCAGGACAUCCUGGGUAAAA